rnacentral:rRNA from 1 species
UGACUCGACGCCGCGUGUGUGAAAAGCCUGCGGGUUGUAAAGCACUUUUAGUGGGGAGAAAAAGCUACGGGCCAAUACCCUGUGGUCUUGAUUUAACCCAAAGAAAAAGCACCGGCUAACUCUGUGCCAGCAGCCGCGGUAAUACAGAGGGUGCAAGCGUUAAUCGGAAUUACUGGGCGUAAAGCGUGCGUAGACGGUUGUUUAAGUCGGAUGUGAAAGCCCCGGGCUCAACCUGGGAAUUGCAUUCGAGACUGAAUAGCUAGGGUGCGGAAGAGGGAAGCGGAAUUUCCGGUGUAGCAGUGAAAUGCGUAGAUAUCGGAAGGAACAUCAGUGGCGAAAGCGGCUUCCUGGUCCAGCACCGACGUUCAGGCACGAAAGCGUGGGGAGCAAACAGGAUUAGAUACCCUGGUAGUCCACGCCAUAAACGAUGAGGACUAGACGUUGGAGGGGUUAGCCUUUCAGUGUCGAAGCUAACGCGAUAAGUCCUCCGCCUGGGGCGUACGGNCGCAAGGUUGAAACUCAAAGGAAUUGACGGGGACCGCACAAGCGGUGGAGCAUGUGGUUUAAUUCGAUG